UUUCUAAAUACACUUUGCAGCAACUUCAUAAUAAAGUUACAUACGGUACAUGCAUUGAUUGACAUUCUAAAUUGCAGCAUUCCAGGUUGAGAUUAGUUGUUGGCUGGUAUGGUUAUCGUACUAUAUCUGGUCUUCAGCUGGAUGUGGCGACCAAGAGGUGAAUAUCACAUAAGUACUGGUAUCAAAAUUCAACCAGUACCUGAUGUAAUACUCCCACCAAAGCCGUCAUGGCAUGCAACAUGCAAUAUACAACUUUUUGAACAAGGCUUAAAACUCAAACUCCAUGCAUGCACACAGACAUUUAACAACUAUUGCUUGAGUCCAAAUUUAUAUCAAAAUAUUUACCUAAUUAAAUGCUAAGCAAUUUAUUUGAUAGCAAUUGAAAUAAAAGAUCAUUAAAAUAUUUUAAAAUCAAAAUCAACAAUACUGCUUCUUUUUGAAAUUAUAAAUUCAAGCCACCAGGAAGAAGUGCUGGCAUGCAACUCACCACAGUACAGAAGGAGCUCGUCUGAUCUCAUGAGGUACUCUGAAUACCAAUGAUAUCCCAGAGUUACUGGAUGAGAUUGGACCAGCAACCAUCUUAAUUCAUGCAAUCAGUGCAAUACAUUUUCAUGCAAUUUUAUUCUUCUUGUGCCUUUUUCAAGCUAGAGAAAUGUGCCAUUAUGAAGAUAUUAAAAAUAAAUUGUGCAAUUUAACGAAUUUUACAGAGUGCAUUCUUUAGUAAAAGCUCUUAUGCAAUAAAAAAAUCCCAAGUGAGAAAAACUUUUUAUUUAUACCUUCUUG
rnacentral:lncRNA from 1 species